rnacentral:lncRNA from 1 species
AACAAUGAGGAAAGACACCCACGCUUCCCCUCACUGGGCUAGGAAGGAGAGCUUUGCGGGUUUAGACUGCAGUCUCCCCCGCCCAUAGCCACCUGUGUGCCGGCUCCGCAGACGAGGUCCCCCCAGCACCCUGGCAGGGACUGUACCAUCAACAGACAAAUGGCAGCCGACCAAGGAGGCGACUGGCGUGUGGAACAGGGAGAAAGAGGUUUUCAUGGAGAAAGAGGCAACGUUGACUAUACGUGUUUACUCAAAGCUUUUUUAU